CAGGUGAACAAUUAAACGGCCGCGGUACCCUAACCGUGCAAAGGUAGCGUAAUCAUUUGUCUAUUAAUUGUAGACCAGUAUGAAAGGCAAAAUGAGGGUCUGUCUGUCUCUUGUAAUAAAUCAAUUAAACUGAUCUUCUAGUAAAAAAGCUAGAAUUCCAACAUAAGACCAGAAGACCCUGUGAAGCUUAAAUUAAACUAUUAAACCAUAUAAUACCUACUUUCGGUUGGGGCGACCUUGGAAAAAAAAAGAACUUCCAAAUAAAUGACCAUAAAUCACACACUAGGCCUACUAGCCUUAAAAUCUUGACCCAGCAUGACUGAUAAUUGAACCAAGUUACUCCAGGGAUAACAGCGCCAUCUUCUUCAAGAGUCCAUAUCAAAAAGAAGGUUUACGACCUCGAUGUUGGAUCAGGACAUCCUAAUGGUGCAGCCGCUAUUAAAGGUUCGUUUGUUCAACGAUUAACAGUCCUACGUGAU
rnacentral:rRNA from 1 species